UACGGGGGGGUAAGCGUUGUUCGGAAUUACUGGGCGUAAAGGGCUCGUAGGCGGCCAACUAAGUCAGACGUGAAAUCCCUCGGCUUAACCGGGGAACUGCGUCUGAUACUGGAUGGCUUGAGUUUGGGAGAGGGAUGCGGAAUUCCAGGUGUAGCGGUGAAAUGCGUAGAUAUCUGGAGGAACACCGGUGGCGAAGGCGGCAUCCUGGACCAACACUGACGCUGAGUGAGCGAAAGCCAGGGGAGCAAACGGG
rnacentral:rRNA from 1 species